AUUGGAUUGGAUUGUAUCUUGCCCAUUUCAAACUAUUUUGCUGUUCUUUGAAAAAAAAGACAUGAUGCUGAUUUAGAACUGCAUAAAUGAAACACCCAUGUAAAUUUAAAAUGAGCAAGACAUAUGACACUGGGGUCAGGACUUCAUGGAAAUAACUUCAUCUCACUCUCCUCUGUGCCAGGCAUACCCACUGCCACUGGACCUCCCACUUCUCAUCUAUAUAAAGUCUCCGUCUGGCAGUGACAGUCUUUGGUCGUAAUGGACAGUUGGGUGAGGGCAAAUCUGGGAGAAAUAUGUUAAAACCUUAACAGCGAACGUCUUUUCUACUUGUUUUGUCAGUACAUCAAAAAGGCUACAAAAACCACAUCUGUUGGCAGAAAGAAGGGGAACCGGCACAGCCACUGGUUGGAUCAGUUUCUGUCAGACUGCUUCAGAUCCUGUCUGGUGGGUUUUAGGUGCUGUGAAACUUCACUUGUUCAUGUCAUGUGGAGGCACUUUCAGUGGAAGAAUGUGCAUUAGGAAUCAAUGUUUUCCCCCCAACAGAUAGUUGCAACUGGGCCUGUAACCUUUGAUUUGUUAACUGAAUAAUAAUCAAGAAAUAAAUGGCCAAUUAUUUUGCUAA